rnacentral:lncRNA from 1 species
CAAGAACCACCCCUCCCUACAGCCCCAAUCAGUAAUUUAGAAUACCCCCCCCAGAACCUCCCUACAUGCCCCAAUAGUAAUAUUAGAACUACCCCCCAGAACCUCCCUACAUGCCCCAAUUAAUGUUUAGAACCACCCCCAGAACCUCCCUACGCGCCCAAUAGUAAUAUUAGAACUACCCCCAGAACCUCCCUACAUGCCCCAAUAUAAUAUUAGAAACUACCCCCAGAACCUCCCUAAUGCCCCAUAUAAUAUUAGAACUACCCCCGAACCUCCCUACAUGCCCCAUAGUAAUAGAAACUCUGCCUACAUGGCUCAGAUGGCUUUUUUUGAGGAAGUGUGAUCCAACUGCCAUUGGAUGAAACAGGGGGUAGGCUAAAUGCCAUUGGAAGACACGCAGGGAGGCGGGACAUUGGUUGUGACUCUUGUUCCUUAAUACCAAGAUAUGCCUACUUCAUCUAUCUAUGUUUUGUGCCUGACAAAAGGAGCACACUGACACACACACACACACACACACACACUCCCAGUGACACUCCAGAAAGGACUGUGCUUUGGAAAGAUUUGUAUUCCUCAGAUGACACACACCACAACACUACAAGUUCUCCGUUCUGUUUUAUUUGAUGCAGCCCUAGUCACACUGCCUGUGGGCGUAUAUUAUCACAGACGGUGCUGUGUGCAUGUUCUGUGGAUGUAUUUUACUUCAAUGUUUGGUUUUUAAAGGGAUGCCUGGUAGAGUGUGAUAGAGAUUUGACUGAGGUAGUUUAUCCUAUAUGACUGACUCUACACUACAGUGUGCCUUUAGGAGAAUAUACACUCGCAGCGACCAGGAUCAUGUCUGUCAAGCUACCAGGCUUCAGGUGUGA